AUUCAGUAACCUCUAAUGGAGCUGUAGCAACAGCAGAGGAAGAAGCACAGCUGAAGGGAACAAAUACACUUUUUGAUUGUUGCUAUCACUACCCAGGAAGGGAAGCUGCAGCAGCUGGGGACACCAUGUGCUUUAGUUGCCAGAAGCAUUUUGCUUCACCAGUAUGUUGCAUUAAUGAGCUAGGGGAAGAUCUGUGACUACUCAUGUAGCGUUGCAUCAGGCUUAUGAGGUCAUUGCUGCUUUUUAAUACCUUUCUGUAAGGGCUAGAGGAGAAUUGGAGUGGAGUCUUGGGGGACCAGUACUGGGAAGAGAUGUUAGCUGCCUCCAGACUUCUAGAUGCAGCACUGAAAGGAAGGUUGCAGACAGCAGAGUGUUUCUCUCAGCCUUCUUCUGUCUUUCAAGGCAGGGUAGGUACUCUGUCACUCACAGUACUGAGUGCAGCAGGUGGAAAGAAGGUCAUCCAAGUCCUGCCUAGAUAAAACAGGUUAGUUCUGGCCCUAUCCUAGGUCCUGGUCUGGCUGAUACAAGUCCAGGAUCUCAGUGGUAGAGACAGGAAUAAUUAAUGUUUACUCAAAAAUAAGAGUGUUAAGAGCACAAAGUCUACCUGUACAAUUGUAAAUUAAUAUCUAUGACUUAAUUAGAAGAGUCCCGAGUCUGAGAUCUAGAAAUAGUUGAACUUCUAAUAGUGUGUAUUGAACCCUGCCUAGGGGCAGAGCAGUAGCUGAAGUAAACAAUGAUCCACCCAUGUUAUCCAUCCCUCCAAGGAAGGCCAAGCAAGUCAAGCUUGCUGCAGCCCUGAUACCUGUCUCUACCUAGGAGAAAGGGGCUAUGGCUUUGCAGAAGCAGACUGAAAAACAGGGAAGAGAAUAUAUCCGAGCUGAAAACAGCUGAAAGGGGCUAAUGGAUUGCUGAGCAAUGCUAAACUAUAGCUCUUAUGUGACACGUGGCUGCAGUUGCAGCUGUAUGUUAUAUAGAAAUGGGGCAAUACAACCCCUGCUGUCAAGGAAUUUACUUUUUUUCAAGCAAGAUAGGCAGAGGAGGUCACGGGAAGUGAAAUGACUUGGUCACAGCAGGUCUGUCAUCAAGCCAGAAAUAGAGCAAACGGUGCCAGGUUAGAAGGCAUAUGAGACCAGUAUAGUUCCCUGCACACCCAUCCAUUCUCUCAGCUGUAUGUUUCCUGCUCUUUGCUGUGGGAGAGAAUUGUUGCCCCUUUCAGAGACAUCAUUGUCUGGAUCUGCUCUAGACAACAGUAUCCAACCCUUCCACGCCCUUCUGGCUUUGGAGGUCAGGUAUACAGAUCACUAUUACAAGGACAGAUUUCAAGUGAUCUUUCUAGUAUCCCUUCUUACAAAAGUUACUGAACACCUGGAAAAGGGAUGCUCACUUGCAGUUCCACAUGCCAUUUCUUACAUCUGGACAAGUCCUCAGAGCAUGGGGAAGCAGUGGGGCUGUCUGCUCCUUGGAGGAAGGGGAGCCAAGCGCAAAAACACAGCUAGCAGUGCCCAGCCCUGCAGCACCCAAACAAGGCAAGCAGGGCGAGUCUGGAGGCAGUAGCCAGGUUCAAAGAGUCCAGAUCCUCAGGUGGCAAGGCAGGUCCAAGAUAAAGCCAGAACAUCAAUCCACAGUGAGACAGGCUCAAGGCAAGAGUAGGAGGUCACUCCAUGCACCGGGGUAUCUGUAUCAGUGGGAUCUAUAGCUAGGCACAAGCAUGGCUGUGACCAAACUGGAAACCAGCAAUUGUAUAGCACAGCUCAGAAACAAGAGGCCUCCACAGCUGAGUAUAAAUAGAGUUCCUGGGCCCAUGGGCACGGAUUGUGGGUAGAGACCUCAGGUGAGGCUCAUCAGGACCAUGAAGGCCUAUUAAUGUACUUGGAGCCCUGACAUACAGCUGCAAGCAGUUCUUUCUGGGUUAACUUGACAUUUCUGUACUAUGAAGUUUAGUAUCUUUAUAGGUAGUGUUGUGAUGAUGAUCUAGAUUGGAAAAGCAAGCAUGUUCUGAAAAGUUCUGUUUAUCUGUUAUUUAGAAGUUCCAUGAGAAGAGGACCGCUAUUUACUGACCUUGAGUAUAACUUAGGACCAGGACUGGGGCAUACUUUUGUGAAAGUACCUUGGCUCCAGCCUGUACCUUCAACAUACAUGUUUCUUUCUUUAAUUCAUCUAGUUCAUCAGAGGUGUAAAUGGAGGGACAGGCCAGCUGAAGGGUGAUAGGCUCAGGAACAUGUCCCAGGUCAUUGUGUGGCAACUGCUUACUAUCUCAUAUGUGUCCAGGUUAGGAUUAGACCUCUGCAUGGUAGAGACUUUGUACGGAAGUGGGAGCACACUCUUUCAGUACAGUUCAUGAAAUACUAGGUGUGUGCAUCCCAUUUACGAUCACAAGAGCUGCAGGUCUAAUUCCUUGUGUGAGACACUGAAAAUAUACCCAAAGGAGUCCACAUUAGCAAAGCCACAAACCACAUUAGAAAAACCACAGAAGCCAAUUUGGCACUCAGGCCUUCUGUGCUCCUGGAAAAAAUCCAGGGCUCAGCUAGGGCUGCAUCCCCUUUCUCUACACAAAGGGCAGGCUCCACUUUCAGAAGGUUGUAUGUAGUGCAGCUGAUGGGAGCCAUCUUGCUGUCUCUGGACUUCAUAAACAUGAACCUCUGAUUUUGGCAAAGAAAUCCCAGAUUUUCAUCAAUAAGGGCAUCCAGGUCCUAUUUUUUUCCCUAUCCUGAACAGAAGCACUCACUGUCUGUGAACCCAGUUGUUGCAAUCAUAUUGCUAGAAAGAUGACUGAUGCAAUGUAGACUUCAGUGCAUGGGGUCACAAAUGGAUGUUAGUCUACUGAAACAUAUAUCUUUUGGGGGUACAGGAAACUCCAGAGGAAGUGAAAUUGAAGGGGGGAAAUCGACACAGCGGGAGGAGACAUCAAAGCCAGAGCAAAUGCAUUACAAGUUACACUAUAAGCAAAGCAACCAGGGAAAGCUGUGAAUUGGACUGUGGAAAAGAGCUGAUCUCUAUCCUUAUGAGAAGAUAAAAAGUCUGUAGUAGUCGGCAACCUCAAGUGCUAGUUGCUGACUGGAAGCAUUACUGGAAGGACCCUGGGAGCCUUUUUACGUGCUGACUGGAAGCAUUAUUGGUGCCUUCAUUUGAUUCCACAUCUAUUGCACGAUGAUCUCAUUGGCAUUCCCUGCAGUGAGCCCACUUAAUCAUGCUAACCAAAAAAAAAAAAAAAGAAA